UAACACAUCUAUCGAUAAUCAAAAAUUUACAAGUUAAUUCAAUUAGUUAAUUUAGCAUAAAAAAAUACCGAAAUUUAUCUUAUAUAUAUAAGCAGAAAAACAAUAUUUGUAGUAAUGAAUAUACAUUCAAAAAUGUACUUUAAAAUUACUCUAUUGUCAAUUUUAACCACUUUGGUAGUUGGUAAUAUAAUUUACGGUGGUGGUGAUUUGAAGAUUCAAACUUACCAUUUGCGAGAUUAUAAUGUGGACUUCAGUAUUGCUUCAACCGCUGUUGAUUCUUUGGAGAAAGCUUUUGAGAUAAGUGACAAUUUAAUAGAAGUUGCUGAUUAUUUCCAAAAAUAUUUCCAAACCGCUACCAAAAAUAUCUGGAACGUUGCUGUUGACUAUGAGAUCCUUCGACUUAGAACAAACAUAUCGUAUGUUGAAAUAGAAGUGAGAAAUGACAAUGAAACGGCGCUUUGGAAAAUAUUUAGUUAAUUAAAUUGUUCAUUAAAAUCAUUAAAAAUGAAUAAGUAAAUAAAUAUUGUAGAAUGUUA